UACAGAGACUGCAAGCGUUAUUCGGAUUCACUGGGCGUAAAGGGUGCGCAGGCGCCAAGUGUGUUAGGCGUGAAAGCCCGGGGCUUAACCCCGGAAUUGCACCUAAAACUACAUGGCUAGAGCAUUGGAGAGGGUAGCGGAAUUCACGGUGUAGCAGUGAAAUGCGUAGAUAUCGUGAGGAACACCAGAGGCGAAGGCGGCUGCCUG
rnacentral:rRNA from 1 species